rnacentral:lncRNA from 1 species
CCACCAAGACUGAAGUUUUGGUGCCCUGGCCUACCCCGUCCUCUGGCCACUCUGGUUCCGGAUGUUUGGCCUGUCCUGGUGAAUGGACUACUAGCUUUAAAUAGCUUUAAUGGAACCGGCGGAAACUCUGUGGCCCGCGUUUCAGGAUGGAGCCAUACGCGUGGCGAAACUGGCGGUUCAUGGCUGCAUAGAGCACAGGGUUGAUGCAGCUGUUGAGCCAGGUGAGGUUGGCAGCCACCAUGUGCACUACUCGUGGAGCACGGCCCCUGGCGUCCAGAAUGUUGAGCAACAGGAAGGGGAUGUAGCUGAGGGCGAAGCAGAGGAACACUGCGAAGCACAUACGGGUCACCUUCCCGAACUCUGAUGGGGCAUCUGUGGCUCUGCGAGCUCCUGCAGUUUCCCGGGGCUUGCGAUGCACUUCUGGAAGGCUUCUCUCUGCGAUCUGUUGAGCUGCCUUUCUAAUGCCCUGGCCCCCAGCUUCUGACGAAUCACCUUCCAGGGUCUGCGUGGUCGCAGCACUGACUGGCUCAGAUGAAAUCCCCUCGCUGGGCCCUCUUGAGGCAACCCCGCUGUCUAGCUCCUGGAAGUGGCCAGGCAUGGCUUCUUGUGUCCCAGCCACCUGAUGAGAGCGGAUGCUGGCCUGAUGCAGCCCGUAUUGGUCCAGUGCUCGAGCCGCACGCUUCACUUGCCGGUGGAUGAGGCAGUAGAAGACGCCCACGCUGCUGA